rnacentral:tRNA from 10 species
CUGAAACAGUCUAGGCCUUGUUUGUGUCCUUCCUAGCGGAUGUAACACUUGAGUUAGGCAGGAACUUCAUGGGUCAGUCUGGGCUUUGUUCCUUUCUCCCCUGGGAGCAAGAUGUUCUUUAGCCCAGUGAAUUACAUGCCCCUGAGGUAUACAACCCAGGGUGGCUGCCUUUCAGGGUCCUCAGCUGUGCUGCAAGUGGGGCACAUGCAGUCAAGAUUCCAUCCUGCCUGGGCAGCUUUCUUGAGCCUUGGGGAACUGGCUCACCAUGGAUCUCAUGCUUCUUUUGUUCCUUGCUGCCUAUCUGCGCCAUCUUCCUUCCAGCUGCUGAACGGUGGCCCCAUGGUGCGCGCAGGCUGGUGUGCGGAGCGUGCGGAACCAGCGGAGCGGGAUCGGCGUGAGCAGCGUACUGGCUGGUCUCAAACUCCUGAUCCCAGUGAUCCGCCCGCCUCGGCCUCACAAAGUGCUGGGAUUACAGCUGUUUUACCAUGAUGUGCUUAGGUGUUCUUUCAUUUGUAUUCAUCCUAUUUGAGGUAAAGAAUUAUAGAUGAUUAUCAGGAUACGCAAGAUGAAACAUGGAUGUCUGUCAUGAUUUAAUAAUGAAUUAUUUGGCAAGUGUGGAAGUUGCUAUGAUAUGUAUUGUGGGUGGAAUUGUGUCCCCCAAAAUGAUGUCCUGAAGUCUUAACUUCUGGUACCUGUGAAUGUGACUUUAUUUGGAAAUAGGGUCUUUGCAAAUGCAAUCAAGUUAGGUUGAGAUCAUACUAGAUUCGGGUGAGCCCGAAAUCCACUGACUGGUUUUCCUCUAAGGAGAGAGAGAUUUGGAGACACAGAUUCCCAGGGAGGAGUACCAUGUGACUACAGGGGCAGAGACUGGAGCAAUACAGCUGCAAGCGGAGGAAUGUCAAGAAUUGCCAGCAACCACCAGAAGCUAGGAAGAAAAAGGAAGACUCCUCUCUGGGGCCCUCAGAAGGAACAUGAUGGCCAAUACCUUAAUUCUGGACAUCUGGCUUCCAGGACUGUGAGAGAAUACAUUUGUGUUGUUUUAGCCACCUAGUCUGUGGUAAUUUGUUACAGGAGCUGUCUAAGAAACUAAUAUAAUAUGUUAUGCUGAAUUAUUUUAUUUUAUAUUAUGUAUUUCUCUACAGCUGGAAAUAAGUUAUUAUUAGUGUCAUGUGUCCCAUAUAUCAUGGGUUGACAUUUCAAUUCUAAUUAAAGAAGCAACUAUUUUGACAUGUAAGUGGAAUGUGGAAUUUAGGAACUACGACAUUAUAUAUCUCUGAUAAGUUUUCAAGCAAACUUUAUCCACUUCUAGUCUCCUCAAUUAAAAAGGGACAUGAAAAAUGUGGAGAUUCAUUAAUUGAGACCAACAAAAAAGGCUAACAGGCUGAAAAAUAAGGGUAUUAGUCACAGACUUAGAAAGCUGAAUGGGGACAUUAGUGACCAUCCACCCUGGGGCUGGCAUACUGCCAGCACACACCCUGCCUUUCCACUGCAGACACCAUCCAAACAGGGUGCUGCUCAGCCCUGGCCCAGACCCAGCCUCAUAGUCCUCCUCUGCACAGUGUACCAGGCAGUUGUAACCAACUGAUAGAGAUAGCCCAAAAGAAAGCCUAUUAGCUAUUAUGGUCCAGUCAAGUCUUUUCAUUUACAGAUGAAAACACUGAAGCCCAAGGAGAGAAAGGGAGCUAAUUGUAGGACCCAGAAUAAGUUAAGAACUGGAUGUUAAUCCCCAAAUUCCCGUCUUGUGCCUACUUCACCGCCAUAUCCCCUCCUAAGCAGUAAUCAAAGGAUAAAAAUCUCUUUUGGGGGGAGGGGCUGGGGUACAUAAUUUGGGGCUAUCAAGAUUUCCUUCAAAAUCUUAAACGGGUUCCAUGUAACUCCCUAAUGGUAUGACUGGGGUCCAAUAGAAACAUUAAGUAUCUCAGGAUACAGAAUUGAACUUGAGUAGUUAGUGUAAUUCUAAUGGUUAAGGAUUGUGGUAGUGGUUGGGGAAGAGAAGGAAAAGAGCAGAUGCUGUUGCUAGAGGGCAAGGACCAUACCACUUUGAUUUCCCCAUGUUGUUAUUUGACAAGACUUAUUUAAUAAACCUUGUGCUUCACCAUAGGGACAUCCAGAGGGGUAAAAGAAAGACUUCUUCCUCAAGGAGGUCAAUACAUGUAAAUAAUUAAUGUGUCACAGGGUAAACCCCCAAAUUGGGGUUCAGCCUGGGAGGCCACAUGUAUUCUUGACUUCGUGCAGGAAGGAAUUAAAGAGCAAGCCAACAGAGUGAAAUGAAAGCAAGUCUAUUAAGAAAGUAAAGGAAUAAAAGGGUGGCCACUCCAUAAGCAGAGGAGCCUUGAGGGCUGCUGGUUUGGCUAUUUUUAUGGUUAUUUCUUGAUCAUAUUUUAAACAAGUGGUGGAUUAUUUGUGAGUUUUCCAGGAAAGGGGCAGGGAGUUCCUGGAACUGAGGGUUCCUCCCCCUUUCAGAUUAUACAGGGUAACUUCCAGACAUUGCCAUGGCAUUUAUGAACUGUCAUGGUGCUGGUGAGAGUUUCCUUGGGUAUGCUAAUGUAUUAUAAUUAGCAUAUAAUAAACAGCCAGGACAACUAGAGGUUGUUCUUGUUGCCACGUUGGUUUUGGCCAGCAUCUUCACUGUAUCCUGUUUUAUCAGUGGCGUCUUUGUGACCUGUGUCUUGUGAAACCAGUCCUGCCAAACUCCUGUCUCAAAUGGAAACGUGGUGAGUUAUGCUGGAAGCUAGAAGCCAAUGGAGUCAAGCCUUCAAUAUUCUGAGAUAAUAUAUUUCAAAUCUAGAAUUCCAUACUUUCUCAUAUGAAAACUAAAGUGUUAGGAUGGAAUAAAUAUAUUCAGAAAGUUGAAUGAUGUGCUUCACCAACAUGAGUGAGUAAAGAAGGAAGACAUAAGGAAUCCUGGGUAUGGGGCACCUGCCACAAGAUGCAGCAAUGGGAAUUCCCAGGAUGACAGUGAAAAGAAACAUAAUAGCUGUGCAGAAGUCCUCAAAGAGGAGCAGGGAGGCAGAGGGAUCUGAGAGCAAUGUCCCCAAAACAAUCAAGAAAAUGUAUCAAACCGAUCUACUGCCAGAUUUUAAAAACUAUAAUGAGAGGAAUUUUAUAUAUCUGGGCCAGUUGGGUGUGAAUUAAUGAUAGGUACAUGGAAAUGGAGCAAUUGAAAGGAUAAGGCAAUUAUUAACUCAAAAGAAAACAAAAAGUUGUACAUUACAUAAUACAAACGCAGAAGUAAACUCUCACAUAUAUGGUCAAAUGAUUUUUGACAAGGCUGCCAAGACUACUUAAUGGGGAGAGGACAUUCUUUUCAACAAAUUGUGCAGGGAAAACUGGAUAUUCAUUUGAAAAAGAACAAAGUUGAAUUCUUACCUUACACCAUAUCCAAAAAUUAACUGAAAAUAGGUCAAAAACCUUAAUGCAAGAGCUAAAACUAUCAAGCUGUUAUAAGAAAACAUAGGGAAAAAGCUUCAUGACACUGGAUUUGGCAAUGACUUAUUAGAUGUAACACCAAAAGCACAAGCAACAAAGGCAAAAGUAGACAAAUGGGACUACCUCAAAAUUAAAAACUUUUGUGCAUCAAAAGAUACUAUCGGAUUGGAAAGGCAACUCACAGAAUGGGAGAAAAUAUUUUCAAAUAAUGUAUCUGAUAACGGAUUAUAUCCAGGAUACAAAAAGAACUACAAUCCAACAAGAAAAAAACCAACCUAAUUAAGAUGGGCAAAAACUUAGACAUUUCUCCAAAGAUGAUUUAUAAAUGGCCAAUAAGCACAUGAAAAGAUGUUCAAAAUCACAGUUCAUUACAGAAAUACAAAUGAAAACUAUAAUGAGAUACCACUUCAUCCAUUAGGAUGGCCAUUACGUAAAAAAAAAGGAAAAUUACAUAUAGAAUUAUCAUAGGAUCUGGCAAUUCUACUUCUUUGUAUAUACCCCAAAGACUUGAAAGCAGAGACUUGAAGAGAUAUUUGUAUUCCCAAGUCUAUAGCAUAUUAUUCAUAAUAGCAAAAAUGUGGAAGCAACCAAAAUAUCUACUGAAAGAGUGGAUAAACCACAUGUGUAUAUACAUACGAUGGAAUAUUAUUAAGCCUUAACAAGGGAGGAAAUUCUGACACAUGCUACAACAUGGAUGAAUCUUGAAG